CAGGCCUAACACAUGCAAGUCGAGCGAACAGAUAAGGAGCUUGCUCCUUUGACGUUAGCGGCGGACGGGUGAGUAACACGUGGAUAACGUACCUAUAAGACUGGGAUAACUUCGGGAAACCGGAGCUAAUACCGGAUAACAUAUUGAACCGCAUGGUUCAAUAGUGAAAGGCGGCUUUGCUGUCACUUAUAGAUGGAUCCGCGCCGUAUUAGCUAGUUGGUAAGGUAACGGCUUACCAAGGCAACGAUACGUAGCCGACCUGAGAGGGUGAUCGGCCACACUGGAACUGAGACACGGUCCAGACUCCUACGGGAGGCAGCAGUAGGGAAUCUUCCGCAAUGGGCGAAAGCCUGACGGAGCAACGCCGCGUGAGUGAUGAAGGUCUUCGGAUCGUAAAACUCUGUUAUCAGGGAAGAACAAAUGUGUAAGUAACUGUGCACAUCUUGACGGUACCUGAUCAGAAAGCCACGGCUAACUACGUGCCAGCAGCCGCGGUAAU
rnacentral:rRNA from 1 species